CGGGGUGCAGCAGGCGCGAAAACUUUACAAUGCUGGCAACAGCGAUAAGGGGACCUCGAGUGCCAGGAUACAAUCUUGGCUGUCGCGAUGCCUAAAAAGCAUUGCAUAGCAAGGGCCGGGCAAGACCGGUGCCAGCCGCCGCGGUAACACCGGCGGCUCGAGUGGUAACCGCUAUUAUUGGGUCUAAAGGGUCUGUAGCCGGCCGGAUAAGUCUUUUGGGAAAUCCAGCUGCUCAACAGUUGGGCUUUCAGAAGAUACUGUUCGGCUCGAGACCGGGAGAGGUGAGAGGUACUUCAGGGGUAGGGGUGAAAUCUUGUAAUCCUUGAAGGACCACCAGUGGCGAAGGCGUCUCACCAGAACGGAUCUGACGGCAAGGGACGAAAGCUAGGGGCACGAACCGGAUUAGAUACCCGGGUAGUCCUAGCCGUAAACGAUACUCGCUAGGUGUCAGCCACGGUGCGACCGUGGUUGGUGCCGUAGGGAAGCCGUGAAGCGAGCCACCUGGGAAGUACGGCCGCAAGGCUGAAACUUAAAGGAAUUGGCGG
rnacentral:rRNA from 1 species